GCCAGACUCCUACGGGAGGCAGCAGUGGGGAAUAUUGCGCAAUGGGGGAAACCCUGAUGCAGCAACGCCGCGUGGGUGAAGGAGCGUUUCGGCGCGUAAAGCCCUGUCAGCGGGGAAGAAGAAAGACGGUACCCGACCAAGAAGCCCCGGCUAACUACGUGCCAGCAGCCGCGGUAAUACGUAGGGGGCAAGCGUUAUCCGGAUUUACUGGGUGUAAAGGGAGCGUAGACGGCAGUGCAAGUCUGGAGUGAAAGGCGGGGGCUCAACCCCCGGACUGCUCUGGAAACUGUACGGCUGGAGUGCGGGAGGGGCAGGCGGAAUUCCUGGUGUAGCGGUGAAAUGCGUAGAUAUCAGGAGGAACACCGGCGGCGAAGGCGGCCUGCUGGACCGCGACUGACGUUGAGGCUCGAAAGCGUGGGGAGCAAACAGGAUUAGAUACCCCUGUAG
rnacentral:rRNA from 1 species